UAUAUAGGGUGUCCCAAAAAGAUGUACUCACUCUUUGACAGAUGAUUUGCGAACACGCAGGAAUGAGAGAGAACAUUAAAUAGUUCUAAAUGACAAUAAAUAAUCGUUUCCACAACAAUUUAUUUUCCUGAAUUUAAUUU